AGAGUUUGAUCCUGGCUCAGGACGAACGCUGGCGGCGUGCUUAACACAUGCAAGUCGAACGAUGAAGCCGGAGCUUGCUCUGGUGAAUUAGUGGCGAACGGGUGAGUAACACGUGAGCAACCUGCCCUUCACUCUGGGAUAACUGCGGGAAACUGUAGCUAAUACCGGAUAUGAGGCUCUGAGGCAUCUCAGAGCUUGGAAAGAAUUUCGGUGAAGGAUGGGCUCGCGGCCUAUCAGCUUGUUGGUGAGGUAAAGGCUCACCAAGGCGACGACGGGUAGCCGGCCUGAGAGGGUGACCGGCCACACUGGAACUGAGACACGGUCCAGACUCCUACGGGAGGCAGCAGUGGGGAAUAUUGCACAAUGGGCGCAAGCCUGAUGCAGCAACGCCGCGUGAGGGAUGAAGGCCUUCGGGUUGUAAACCUCUUUUAGCAGGGAAGAAGCGAAAGUGACGGUACCUGCAGAAAAAGCACCGGCUAACUACGUGCCAGCAGCCGCGGUAAUACGUAGGGUGCAAGCGUUGUCCGGAAUUAUUGGGCGUAAAGAGCUCGUAGGCGGUUUGUCGCGUCUGCUGUGAAAACCAGAAGCUCAACUUCUGGCCUGCAGUGGGUACGGGCAAACUAGAGUGCGGUAGGGGAGAACGGAAUUCCUGGUGUAGCGGUGGAAUGCGCAGAUAUCAGGAGGAACACCGAUGGCGAAGGCAGUUCUCUGGGCCGUUACUGACGCUGAGGAGCGAAAGCGUGGGGAGCGAACAGGAUUAGAUACCCUGGUAGUCCACGCCGUAAACGGUGGGUGCUAGCUGUGGGCCACAUUCCACGUGGUCCGUGACGAAGUUAACACAUUAAGCACCCCGCCUGGGGAGUACGGCCGCAAGGCUAAAACUCAAAGGAAUUGACGGGGGCCCGCACAAGCGGCGGAGCAUGCGGAUUAAUUCGAUGCAACGCGA
rnacentral:rRNA from 1 species